rnacentral:ribozyme from 12 species
UAGCAUUGAUAAAUAUGAAUGAAUGAAUACAGAUGAUCUAUCUUUCUCGGCUAUUCGUUUUUUCUCUUGUGUUUCUUUCUUGUUCUUGUUCUUCUUCUUG